CCUACGGGUGGCAGCAGUGGGGAAUAUUGGACAAUGGGCGAAAGCCUGAUCCAGCCAUGCCGCGUGUGUGAAGAAGGCCUUCGGGUUGUAAAGCACUUUCAGUGGGGAAGAAAGCCUUGGGGCUAAUACCCUCGAGGAAGGACAUCACCCACAGAAGAAGCACCGGCUAACUCCGUGCCAGCAGCCGCGGUAAUACGGAGGGUGCGAGCGUUAAUCGGAAUUACUGGGCGUAAAGCGCGCGUAGGCGGUCUGAUAAGCCGGUUGUGAAAGCCCCGGGCUCAACCUGGGAACGGCAUCCGGAACUGUCAGGCUAGAGUGCAGGAGAGGAAGGUAGAAUUCCCGGUGGAGCGGUGAAAUGCGUAGAGAUCGGGAGGAAUACCAGUGGCGAAGGCGGCCUUCUGGACUGACACUGACGCUGAGGUGCGAAAGCGUGGGUAGCAAACAGGAUUAGAUACCCCUGUAGUC
rnacentral:rRNA from 1 species